rnacentral:rRNA from 1 species
GACGAACGCUGGCGGCGUGCCUAAUACAUGCAAGUCGAACGCAGUGGGGACGGGUGAGUAACACGUGGGUAACCUCCCAUCAGAGGGGAUAACCCUUGGACACAGGUGCUAAACCGAUAGUGCUGGAUGGACCCGAGUGGCAUUAGCUAGUUGGUGAGGUAACGGCUCAACAAGGCCACGAUGCAUAGCUGGCCGGAGAUGGUUAUCGUCCACACGGGGACUGAGACACGGCCCAGACUCCUACGGGAGGCAGCAGUAGGGAAUCUUCGGCAAGGGACGAAAGUCUGACCGAGCAACGCCGCGGGAGUGAAGAAGGUUUUCGGAUCGUAAAACACUGUUGUUAGAGAAGCGGUAUCCAACCAGAAAGCCACGGCUAACUACGUGCCAGCAGCCGCGGUAAUUC